GAUUCGUUGGCGCAGUUGGGAGCGCGUCAUUUAUACGGGAUUAUAUCCUAGUACGCUGAAGGACGCGGGUUCGAGCCCCGCACGAAUCG